UUUAAACCCACAACAACCAUGGUUUUUUUUAUUGAGCAACUGGUUCAUGAAUGCACACAUUGUGUCAUAGCAUCCCUCUAGAAAACCAAUUAUCUUUAUAUCCAGCUGUCCUCCCUGGCACUCCGUUUCCCCUAGCAGAGCCUACCUUGUUGCAGUAAAUUAGCGUUAACUGGGAGGAAGAGGCCACUCAUACAGACUGACUUGACUUUGGCAGCUCCAAGCAGGAACUAAACUGAGACUGAGGGGAUAUCCAUUCCACAGGCAAGGAGGAAAAACAGACUCGCCCUUUCUCAAAGAACUCUCAAACUUCCCACAUCUGAAGACUAGGAUGGCCAGUUGCGGGUCUUGUUUCUGGAGCAUUGUGUGGCUGGUGAUUUUACUGAUCAUAGGCUGGCCCCUCAGUAUCUUACUCGGGGGGCUCUAUGGCCUCGUCACCCCCCUGACCACCUGCGUGGGCCUGGACCGCCUGUCAGACCUGCUCCUGGAGGGGGCCAACCUGGGUCGGACCUGUGCCCAGAACAUGAAACACGGCAAGGCAGUGUGCUGAGACCGGUCCUGGUCCUGAUACUGGUUCUGGUCGUGUCACCGUGGAAACAAACGUUUCCUUCACAGAGGAAGAGUUACUGUUCAUGCCAAAGGCCAUUGUGUUAUUGUUCGUCUUGUCACGUUAUUGAGGUGUUAAUAUAAGUUCAAAGCCAAAACACAAGGAAAACUUCACUUCCCAAACGUUUAACAAAAUGAUUAUGCUCGCUCUAUAAAAGUGUUAUUAACAGUGGAUGUUCUUUUUUUUGUUUGGGUUUGUCUAUUCUACAACUUGAAAUACAGAUGCUUUGUAUUCAUAGCCUGAAUUUGCUGAUUUUAAUUCACGAUGCCAUCCUGCACAGGGCAGAGAAGAAUGUUCUACAGCUUAACUUUAACAAUAGAGCAGUUAUGGAUUUAAACUUAUAAAGUGAUACAAUUAUUUUGAACUUACAUAGUGUUUCUUGAUCGAAUUGUCAUUAGACCGAAAAUAAAAUGUCUGCCUGCCUCUAUUUUA